rnacentral:misc_RNA from 1 species
AAUUCUCAAAAAACCUUUUCCUGCUUUUGCUGGAAAGGAUUUUUGGACUUGGAGGUUCAAUGCCUGCUUUUCACCUUUGAAAAGCAAGCUCCUCUCAAAUAAAUUAGCGGGGUCUGCUUUGCCGAUCCUUGACGUGAUAAGAUGUUUCUACGUUUUGGAUUUGGCACUGUCCCUUUGGACACCUGCUCCUAACUGUCCCACGGACAAUGAUGGUGCUCUGGUCUUUGCCGUCUACACUGGCGGGGGAGGCUGGACCCACAAAAGAAAA